GAUGAAGAAGCAGCGAAAUGCGAUAAGUAAUGUGAAUUGCAGAAUUCAGUGAAUCAUCGAGUCUUUGAACGCACAUUGCGCCCCCUGGUAUUCCGGGGGGCAUGCCUGUCCGAGCGUCAUUGCUGCCCUCAAGCACGGCUUGUGUGUUGGGCUCCGCCCCCCUCCCGGGGGGCGGGCCCGAAAGGCAGCGGCGGCACCGCGUCCGGUCCUCGAGCGUAUGGGGCUUUGUCACCCGCUCUGUAGGCCCGGCCGGCGCCCGCCGGCGACCCCAAUCAAUCUUUCCAGGUUGACCUCGGAUCAGGUAGGGAUACCCGCUGAACUUAAGCAUAUCAAUAAGCGGAGGA
rnacentral:misc_RNA from 1 species